UAGGCAUGUAGAUGAGAGGGGGAAAAUAAGCCGGGGCAAGGAGGAAGCUUUGGUUCUUUAUAGGGCCCUCUUUGUUCUGUUCUAUGGAUCCAUUGUUGCGUAUCAUCCUCACCUGCGAUGUGAGAGCUUAGGGUUAACUCUACAUUUUUUUCCGCGGGUUUUUCGCUCAUAGGCUGAUGCAAAAUAGCAAAUAAUAUCUUUCUUCCCUUGUCCUCUCUUCAUAUCUUCGGGUUUACUCGUACACGUCGGGCUUUUUCCGUUGCUAAUUGAUGUGGAAAAAAUAUGAAUAUCAAGAUAGGGGUGCAAAGCGCCCUCUCUUUCGCCCCUUUAAGCAGAAGACAAGUGCAAUGUAAACAAAACAAAACAAAAACAAU
rnacentral:sRNA from 1 species